rnacentral:rRNA from 1 species
AGUGGCGAACGGGUGCGUAACGCGUGGGAACCUGCCCUUAGGUUCGGAAUAACAGUUAGAAAUGACUGCUAAUGCCGGAUAAUGUCUUCGGACCAAAGAUUUAUCGCCUUUGGAUGGGCCCGCGUAGGAUUAGGUAGUUGGUGUGGUAAUGGCGCACCAAGCCGACGAUCCUUAGCUGGUCUGAGAGGAUGAUCAGCCACACUGGGACUGAGACACGGCCCAGACUCCUACGGGAGGCAGCAGUAGGGAAUAUUGGACAAUGGGCGAAAGCCUGAUCCAGCAAUGCCGCGUGAGUGAUGAAGGCCUUAGGGUUGUAAAGCUCUUUUACCAGGGAUGAUAAUGACAGUACCUGGAGAAUAAGCUCCGGCUAACUCCGUGCCAGCAGCCGCGGUAAUACGGAGGGAGCUAGCGUUGUUCGGAAUUACUGGGCGUAAAGCGCGCGUAGGCGGCUUUUCAAGUCAGGGGUGAGAUCCCGGGGCUCAACCCCGGAACUGCCCUUGAAACUGGAUGGCUAGAAUACUGGAGAGGUGGGUGGAAUUCCGAGUGUAGAGGUGAAAUUCGUAGAUAUUCGGAAGAACACCAGUGGCGAAGCGACUCACUGGACAGUUAUUGACGCUGAGUGCGAAAGCGUGGGGAGCAAACAGGAUUAGAUACCCUGUAGUCCACGCCGA